rnacentral:rRNA from 1 species
UACGAAGGGGGCUAGCGUUGCUCGGAAUCACUGGGCGUAAAGGGUGCGUAGGCGGGGCUUUAAGUCAGGGGGGAAAUCCUGGAGCUCAACUCCAGAACUGCCUUUGAUACUGAAGAUCUUGAGUUCGGGAGAGGUGAGUGGAACUGCGAGUGUAGAGGUGAAAUUCGUAGAUAUUCGCAAGAACACCAGUGGCGAAGGCGGCUCACUGGCCCGAUACUGACGCUGAGGCACGAAAGCGUGGGGAGCAAGCAGG